UUUAUGCUUUUCUCUUGUUCUUGUGUUGAGAAACAUUUGCGUAUUAAUCAUAAAGCACACACUAAUGUAGAGAGAACAGGCAUGGAAGUAUGUGUCAGCUUGAAAAUAGCUCACUGCUGGCAGAGCAAACCUGACUGUCAGCACAGUGUUCGUCCAUGGUACCCUCAUCAUGUAGCAUGAGGAAGAGAUCUAACACUGACGCUUAACUUAAAAACAUAUCCCAGACCUUAUGUCACUAUAACUGACCAGGGCAGAGUUUCCCAAAAUAUGUUAGUGCUAAGGUUUACUUUGCUCCACUAAACAAUGACUAACAAUGUGCUCAAAAUGUUUAGGAAACUGGGCUCAGACUGACCUUAGAAACACACUGUCAUGUGCUUUACACUGAUCUUUAUCUAUAAAUAACCUUAUGGAGCUAACUGUAAUUUUACAUUGCUUUGUCUGUAUCCUAUUUUUCCAGCCAAAUCGUUUUGUGAUGUGUUUGCUUCUGAAAAUUUCCUACAUAGACCUGUUUUCCACAAAGGCUGACUAUAUGACCCGCUGUCUGAGAAGUCAGUCAGAAACUUGAG